rnacentral:rRNA from 1 species
AUCUGUGACGUUACCUACAGAAGAAGGACCGGCUAACUCCGUGCCAGCAGCCGCGGUAAUACGGAGGGUCCGAGCGUUAAUCGGAAUUACUGGGCGUAAAGCGUGCGCAGGCGGUUUGUUAAGCGAGAUGUGAAAGCCCUGGGCUCAACCUAGGAAUAGCAUUUCGAACUGGCGAACUAGAGUCUUGUAGAGGGGGGUAGAAUUCCAGGUGUAGCGGUGAAAUGCGUAGAGAUCUGGAGGAAUACCGGUGGCGAAGGCGGCCCCCUGGACAAAGACUGACGCUCAUGCACGAAAGCGUGGGGAGCAAACAGGAUUAGAUACCCUGGUAGUCCACGCCGUAAACGAUGUCUACUCGGAGUUUGGUGUCUUGAACACUGGGCUCUCAAGCUAACGCAUUAAGUAGACCGCCUGGGGAGUACGGCCGCAAGGUUAAAACUCAAAUGAAUUGACGGGGGCCCGCACAAGCGGUGGAGCAUGUGGUUUAAUUCGAUGCAACGCGAAGAACCUUACCUACUCUUGACAUCCA